rnacentral:rRNA from 1 species
CAAUAGCGUAUAUUAAAGUUGUUGCGGUUAAAAGCUCGUAGUUGGAUUUCUGCCGAGGACGACCGGUCCGCCCUCUGGGUGAGUAUCUGGCUCGGCCUGGGCAUCUUCUUGGAGAACGUAGCUGCACUUGACUGUGUGGUGCGGUAUCCAGGACUUUUACUUUGAGGAAAUUAGAGUGUUUCAAGCAGGCACACGCCCUGAAUACAUUAGCAUGGAAUAAUAUGAUAGGACUUUGGUUCUAUUUUGUUGGUUUCUAGAACUGAAGUAAUGAUUAAUAGGGACAGUCGGGGGCAUUCGUACUUAACUGUCAGAGGUGAAAUUCUUGGAUUUGUUAAAGACGAACUACUGCGAAAGCAUUUGCCAAGGAUGUUUUCAUUGAUCAAGAACGAAAGUUAGGGGAUCGAAGAUGAUUAGAUACCAU